CUGAGGUGAACUCACUCACACCACCACACGUGCUAUAAUGAGCUGUUGUCCUGGUUUUGUAACACAUACGGCCGGUGCAUAUCCAGCAGUUCUUCUUCUAAAUGGCCUUGUACUUCCUUUACUUAUGCACCUUCUUCAGCUGCUGCAACUUAUAGCUGGGGUAAUUACAGUCGUUAGCCCCCCCCCCCGGUAUUGUUCUCCGACAGGAUGGAUGAGGAGACGUGUGGGUGGCAGUGGAGGGUGAUGGGAGGGGAGGCAAGGACAGCGAGCAGCAAACAGCACUGCUGAGUAGGAGAAGUACAAUGGGCUGUGAGUCAGAGGGAAACGAGGAGCGAGCAGCGAGAGAAAAAGAGAGAGGUAUGCUGAGAAAAGGUAGGACUUGAGAGGGAGCGUCACGACACAGAGGAGAGAGGGUGGGGGCGCUAAACUCAACCGAGGCUCAGUGAUCUCUAAAGGAUACACCUGAUGAACUUAGUGGCCGCUUUGAGCUGAGCUGAGAGGAAACCAACCUGCAGGGAACGCUGGGCUGUAUUCUCAUUCACGGUCUAUUCAUAGAAGGUCAGCAGGGUCGGCUGGUUAAUACCUGCAGUAGACAGAACAGGUGACUCAUUUAAUGAGAUGCAACCUGGCCGGAAAAACUGGUUGAUCUGCCCUGACCACCGAGGUUCAACUAAUUUCAUCCCUCCAGCAAAUGUUUGCUCCAACUCCAAAUCGAAUCCUGUGGCAAUUUUACGGAGUUGCACUUCGCAAAUAACCCCACCUUGCUUGUUUCAAGACGACAUUGAUACUGAAAUUCUUACUCUGUCUAGUCAUGUUUAAAAAACCUUUAAAAUCUGUUUUAAUAGUCAUUGCUUGUACCAUGUAGUUUCUAUUUUCCAUGAUUAUUUGUUUGCCCAUUGACUCCCACAUGUUCCUACAUCUACUCUCAGAUUAUUUGCCUUGUUUUAUUAUGCUUUUUACGUCAUCUGUUCAACAUGAGACCUGUCCAGGGUGAACCCCACCUCUCGCCAAUUGUUAGCAGUGUUUGGCUCCAGCGUGAUAUCUCUAUGGAUCCUCCCUGGUUAAAUAAAGGAUAAAUAAAAUAAAAAAGAUAAUUCUGUACAGUCCUUGUUAAUGAGCUACACACUCCAGCAAACCAAAUAAUUCAGUCCUCCUUUCACAGCAGACAGAGAUCCCCCGAUGAGAUUAAUGAGAUCAUUCUCCUUUCAUUCAUAUUAAUCACAUUAGUUUUGUUUUGUUUUUCAUGUCAGGCUGUUCCUGUCACUCCGGAUUUGUUAUAAAUCACGACUUUGAUCAGAAAAAAACAAAAGUCUACUCAGACUCACAAAGCUAAUGCUUGUCCCUUAUCAGUCCUUGAUGUGUGAAAGAACAAAGAGGCAUCGGCACCAAAAAAUCCGAGUCGGGGCUUGUUUACAGAAAACGUGUGUAGAUUCUCUGUCUUGCUCAAGAGCUCCUCAUCGGGGCGGAUGUUCACCGGCUCGGGGGACUUGCAUUCGGGGGCCUUCCAGUCGGAGGUGAGCGUCGUGUCCGAAGACAGAGGAAGCAUCUAUUUUUUUUCUUUUCUUUUUGGAGGAAACAUAUAGCUUCUCUAAACAAUACAACAGGAAAGGCUGCUGCACUUCCUCUAUAGAAGAUAAUGAGGAUUGUCACACAACAUGAGGCAUAUAGCGUCUAUAUGGUGAAUAUUGGCUGCUAUAGCAUGAACAUUUUGCUGUAGCAAUAAAUCCACAUAAUUAUGAUGAUGGUGUUAAUUUGAAUUUUACUGAUUAAUGCGGUGAUGAUAAUGUGAUGAUUCUAAAGUAAUGUUGCUGUGGGUUUA